GCACUCGUAGUCUAACGGAUAGACCGGAGGCCUCCGCCGCCUGUACUGCAGGUUCGCUUCCUGUCGAGUGCA
rnacentral:tRNA from 1 species